GCUCCUCUCAUGCAUAUAACUUGGAGGCCCUGAGAAAGAGUAGUUUCUCCUAACAGUUCUGGUUCACAAACGUCAAGGGAGGCCUCUGAUUGGCCUGACUUGGCCCAACCACGACUAAACAAAUCACAAAGCACAGGUAGGUGGUGUGCUCUGAUUGGCCAGGCCUGGUCAUGGGGCCAAUCAGCAAGGUCAGCCCUCCCUGAGCCACAUGGACUGGGGAAGGACUGGUCUCCCAGGGUGGCCUGCCUGGAGCAACAGGAUGAGCUUGGACGUCAAGGUCAGCGGUGGUGCACGGGAACUCGCACCGCUCAGGGGAGCAGACUGUGCCCGUGUCUUCCCAACUCCAUGGUCAACGGCAUCAGGCGCUGCACAGAACACAGCAAGUGUGCCAUGCGCUCAGUUGUGACCAAGUCUUUGCAACUCCUCUGUCCAUGAAAUAUUCCAGCUUUGCAUAACUUCCAGAAGAAUGCAUGUUGGACGAGAGAAGCCACCAAGAGCUCCUGUGGUUCGGGUUUUACUGAAUGUGAUGCUUAGUGAGAAACUUCUCUGGGAAGAUAAGAUGAAGAGACCAAUUUAUAUGGGAAACAGGCAGUAAAAUGCCAUUAAGUCACAGCUGGUUUUUGCAGAAUGGCUGCCAGAACAACCCAUGGCAUUUCAGAGUAUGGAGCACUAGAUUUUAAGGAGGAAACUGAAUAGGAUGGCUUGGCCAGGAGAGGGAAGAAUUAAUGCAGAUCAUCUGGGGUGAUCCAUUCUGCUCAGAAUGAAGAGUUCUGCCUCCUGCUUGGCUUGCUAUUCAACUUUCAGGCAGCAUCACUUCAAAACUAAUUGCCUUAGGAAGACAUCCUUUCACUGGGAGUCCUAUUGAUGUUAUUCUGGGGGAAGAAACUCAGCUCAAACUUGAUUUGAAUUAAUUGGACACUACAGAACUAUACUCCUCAACACCAAAGGCUCUGUCUGCAGAAGAGUUUUGCUUUUAAAAGCAUGGGCAAG
ensembl:lncRNA